UUCUUGAUUUCGUGAUUCCUCUUCUAUAUACACGUUCUAUAUGCUGUGUACUAUAUAUAUUGAUCAGGAUGUUACUUAUGGUUAAAAUGUUCCUUCUCUCUCCCACCUUCCCACAUGUUCACGUGCGCGCACCAUAUACAAUAUUCGAAUUGAAAUUUGAUGUAUCGCGAAUCCGAUCUGGUAAAUUAUUGAUAUCACUGAUCAGAGGUCACCUCUGCGGUCGAGUUCGAAGGCGUAGAUUCUUAUACUCAUACUCUCCUAUCAAAGUUUAAGACACCUGACGAUAUCCUACGGAUCAAAGAGGAAAUGUUUCCUUCCGCCUGACGCGACUAUGUCGCCUCUCUCGGGAAAUUUCCAGUCAAUGUCAGCUAAAUUGUAACACGUGUAUGCGCUCUCUAUCGUAUGGUUCUCUAUUCUCUAUAUGCAUGCUAUAUGCAAUGCGCCAAGUCGAUGUCGAUAUGGAUGAAAGGACUUUGAUUGGCUGAUUGGUUACACACCAAAAUAUCAGAAAAAUAAGCUUUUUAUGCAAAAUAAAAUUGACGCAAUGAAGAUUUCACCGUGUUUAAAUUUCUUUACUUUUAAUUUGAUUUAUCAGUUGUAUCGUUAAACUUUGCUACGAAAAGUGACAAGUAGUUAAUAAACUUUUAAUUACGUUAAAGAAACGAUAUGAGAUCUGUAUUACAGAUGGUAGAAUACUAAGAUUUAGAAUACUAUAAAUACGAUCCUUUGGAAUUUUCCGAUAUUAAGUAACGUAUUUUUACUCGAAAUAAAUUAAAUUCAGUUAUUUAUUCUUA